rnacentral:rRNA from 1 species
GAGUGUCACAAAAUCGAGGGCUGCGACUGUUUACCAAAAACACAGCAACUUGCUAAGACGAAUAGUACUUGUAUAAGUUGUGAACUCUGCCCAAUGCCAUGUCGUGUAAAGAAGGUGAUCUAUUUAUUAAUUUCUAAUAAUAGAGUCACUAACUGAUGCCAUGGUGAAUGGCGGUCUUAACUAUAAGGAUCUGAAAGUAGCGAAAUUCCUUGGCCAUUAAAUGUGGUCCUGCAUGAAUGAGGUAACGUGGCCCUGCUGUCUCCACAAGCAUCUCAGUGAAAUUGAAUUAGCCGUGCAUGAUGCGGUUUACCUUCAGUUAGACGGGAAGACCCUAUGCAGCUUCUACUGA